UUUGUUGACGACUUGGUCAGGGCGGUUCACAAUUUCUUUGUUGAAAGCGCUGUUAAGCCCUAAGUUUGAAUUCCAAUUUAAUUGCCCUUAUUCCGAAAGUCUAAAGUCCUUCCAAUUUUCACCAAUUCCGACCUACCUUUAUUUAUGGGAUAUUUGAAGGAGAGCUUUGUAACUUUUUCUAUAAAAUUCUCUCUAGCUCGAAGAAUUUGUUUGAUUCUCCCUAUAAAAAUAGUUAAGGAAAAAGGGGCGCUUUUGUUAAAGGACUCACUAUUGUAGAGAAGAUCUCCUUGGCUCACGAGGUGGCUUUAAGUGAUAGGGGAUUUUAACCUAAAGACAACAUAGGAGGGAGGGGGGUCAAAAGAAAGUCAGGAUAUGGCAAAAGCAUCUUUUUGGAUCGAAUGGGCUUUUGUGAUAAAUGGCGGAAUUUGAUACAAAUAGUUAAGGAAAAAGGGGCGCUUUUGUUAAAGGACUCACUAUUGUAGAGAAGAUCUCCUUGGCUCACGAGGUGGCUUUAAGUGAUAGGGGAUUUUAACCUAAAGACAACAUAGGAGGGAGGGGGGUCAAAAGAAAGUCAGGAUAUGGCAAAAGCAUCUUUUUGGAUCGAAUGGGCUUUUG
rnacentral:lncRNA from 1 species